rnacentral:rRNA from 1 species
GUGCCAGCAGCCGCGGUAAGACGAACCGUGCGAACGUUGUUCGGAUUCACUGGGCUUAAAGGGCGCGUAGGCGGGCGAUCAAGUCAGGGGUGAAAUCUUUCGGCUCAACCGGAAAAGUGCCCCUGAUACUGAUUGUCUUGAGGGAGGUAGGGGCAUGUGGAACUUCCGGUGGAGCGGUGAAAUGCGUAGAUAUCGGAAGGAACGCCGGUGGCGAAAGCGACGUGCUGGAUCUCUUCUGACGCUGAGGCGCGAAAGCCAGGGGAGCGAACGGGAUUAGAUACCCCGGUAGUCCUGGCCCUAAACGAUGGGUACUAGGUUGUGGGCUUAACAUGGGCUCACAGCCGAAGCAAAAGUGAUAAGUACCCCGCCUGGGGAGUAUGGUCGCAAGGCUGAA